rnacentral:rRNA from 1 species
AUUGAACGCUGGCGGCAGGCCUAACACAUGCAAGUCGAACGGUAGCACAGAGAGCUUGCUCUCGGGUGACGAGUGGCGGACGGGUGAGUAACGUCUGGGAAACUGCCCGAUGGAGGGGGAUAACUACUGGAAACGGUAGCUAAUACCGCAUAACGUCGCAAGACCAAAGUGGGGGACCUUCGGGCCUCACACCAUCGGAUGUGCCCAGAUGGGAUUAGCUAGUAGGUGGGGUAAUGGCUCACCUAGGCGACGAUCCCUAGCUGGUCUGAGAGGAUGACCAGCCACACUGGAACUGCGACACGGUCCAGACUCCUACGGGAGGCAGCAGUGGGGAAUAUUGCACAAUGGGCGCAAGCCUGAUGCAGCCAUGCCGCGUGUAUGAAGAAGGCCUUCGGGUUGUAAAGUACUUUCAGCGGGGAGAAAGGCGGUGAAGUUAAUAACUUCACCGAUUGACGUUACCCGCAGAAGAAGCACCGGCUAACUCCGUGCCAGCCGCCGCGGUAA